rnacentral:rRNA from 1 species
CCUACGGGAGGCAGCAGUCGAGAAUCAUUCACAAUGGGGGAAACCCUGAUGGUGCGACGCCGCGUGGGGGAAUGAAGGUCUUCGGAUUGUAAACCCCUGUUAUGUGGGAGCAAAUUAAAAAGAUAGUACCACAAGAGGAAGAGCCGGCUAACUCUGUGCCAGUAGCCGCGGUAAUACAGAGGUCUUAAGCGUUGUUCGGAAUCACUGGGCGUAAAGGGUGCGUAGGCUGUUUCGUAAGUCGUGUGUGAAAGGCGCGGGCUCAACCCGCGGACGGCACAUGAUACUGCGGGACUAGAGUAAUGGAGGGGGAACCGGAAUGCUCGGUGUAGCAGUGAAAUGCGUAGAUAUCGAGAGGAACACUCGUGGCGAAGGCGGGUUCCUGGACAUUAACUGACGCUGAGGCACGAAGGCCAGGGGAGCGAAAGGGAUUAGAUACCCUAGUAGUC